UACGUAGGGGGCAGGCGUUGUCCGGAAUCAUUGGGCGUAAAGAGCGCGUAGGCGGCCCUGUAAGUCCGCUGUGAAAGUCAAGGGCUCAACCCUUGGAUGCCGGUGGAUACUGCAGGGCUAGAGUCCGGAAGAGGCGAGUGGAAUUCCUGGUGUAGCGGUGAAAUGCGCAGAUAUCAGGAAGAACACCGGUGGCGAAGGCGGCCCACUGGUCCGGUACUGACGCUGAGGUGCGAAAGCGUGGGGAGCAAACAGG
rnacentral:rRNA from 1 species